rnacentral:rRNA from 1 species
UGCCGCGUGAGUGAAGAAGCCUUUGGGUAGUAAAGCUCUUUUGUAGGGGAAGAUAAUGACUGUACCCUAAGAAUAAGGUCCGGCUAACUUCGUGCCAGCAGCCGCGGUAAUACGAAGGGACCUAGCGUAGUUCGGAAUUACUGGGCGUAAAGCGCGCGUAGGCCGUUGAGUUAGUUAAUUGUGAAAUCCCAAAGCUUAACUUUGGAACUGCAAUUAGAACUGCUCGACUAGAGUUUGAUAGAGGAAAGCGGAAUACAUAGUGUAGAGGUGAAAUUCAUAGAUAUUAUGUAGAACACCAGUUGCGAAGGCGGCUUUCUGGGUCAACACUGACGCUGAGGCGCGAAAGUAUGGGUAGCAAAGAGGAUUAGAUACCCUCGUAGUCCAUACCAUAAACGAUGAUUGCUAGAUGUUGGAGAUUUAUUUUCAGUAUCGCAGCUAACGCAUUAAGCAAUCCGCCUGGGGAGUACGACCGCAAGGUUAAAACUCAAAUGAAUUGACGGGGACCCGCACAAGCGGUGGAGCAUGUGGUUUAAUUCGAAGAUACGCGCAGAACCUUACCAACCCUUGACAUGUCUGUCGCGAGUUUAGGAAACUAGACUUUUCGGUUCGGCCG